rnacentral:rRNA from 1 species
UACGUAGGGGGCAAGCGUUGUCCGGAUUUAUUGGGCGUAAAGCGCGUGUAGGUGGCCAAGUAGGUCCGCUGUGAAAACUUGAGGCUCAACCUCAAGCUGUCGGUGGAAACCCCUUGGCUAGAGUCCGGAAGAGGAGAGUGGAAUUCCUGGUGUAGCGGUGAAAUGCGCAGAUAUCAGGAAGAACACCAAUGGAGAAGGCAGCUCUCUGGGACGGUACUGACACUGAGACGCGAAAGCGUGGGGAGCGAACAGG